UUGAACCUGAUCUUGAUCACUUUGAACCAGCAACAGACCAGUUACCGUGUUUCAGAAACCUGCUCGACAUCAGCUGUUUUUCCCAGAAGACAGUUCAGGAGGGUCAAAACUGAACAGAAAGGUCCACAACGAGCUGAAAGAACACAAGGAGGGAGUAGUGAUGAUCCGGAGAGAGUCUGGCGCGGUUGAUUGCUGUGUCUCGUAAUGGUUUCUCUCUGUGAGGAGCCUGAAGCAGCGGUGAAGGGGUUCACGGAUGUCAACACUGUUUUAAUCUCAGAGUCUAAUGCAUUCAUAGAAGCAAGAUAAGAACUGAGAAGCACACAAAACAUUUGAGAAAGCAAAGGCUGGGCUGCUCGUUUAACGAUUAAACUACAGGCAAGCGGUCUUUGAGAAAGUUUUCACUACACUACAGGAUCCUCGCUAAAGUCUGUUGAAGCUACUUAAGGGAACCUUGUACUUAUUGGACCAGGUUGACCCGAAAACACUCACAGCAAUGAUCUUCACUUCGAUCAGAUGAUGCAGAGGUUUGGAUCCCCCAUCAUCAUCAUCAACCUCGUCAAGAUGGAUGUUAAUGAGGUGUUUAGCACGGGCCAUUCGCUGGAGGACACCGCGACAUCGUCUGGAGUUAUUUGAGUCAUUUAUCCAAAAAUGUACUUGCUCUUACUGUAUGUUAUUUCAGUCUAAUAUGCCAGAUAACGCUCAGACACAGUUAAUAAUUUUCAUGCAUCUUAAAGAAAUUAAUCCUGUCUGAUCAAAUAUUAUAUAGUAUUUAAUAUCUAUAUCUAAAUCUUGUUGCAUGUAAGUUGCUUUUUAAAUAUUUUGUUUUUAUCUUGUAACUAUGAUAUUUUAGUAUCAUUGAGAUACCAUUAUAGCUUUUAUUAAUAUUUAGAAUUCGGUGCCGU